CCUGUAUGCGUCCCAGGGGUCAUCCUCAAAUACUGCCGUGGUCUUGGUGCCCAGAGUCUUCUUAGCAGGUGGGACUCUCCUGUCUUCACCAGUCUGUUGGGAUCAGCUCAGCCAGCCUGGUUAAAGGGUGUGGCCCUUCCAGAUGAGGAGUUCAACAAGACUACAUGGUAGAGCAGCCAGAUAAUCCACUAGAAAGAAGACUCAAAAUAAGAAGUAACCACAAAAUAAGAGACAGAGAAUGCUGAUUCACUAUGCAGUGAAACAUGCCUAACGUGUCAACAGCUAAUGCCCGGUGACAGAGUGGUUGUCUGGGCAACAGAAGAAGUCACCCACGCAAACACUUAAAGGUGAGCUGUGAGAGUUAAGCAAGCGAGAGCUUUUCACUGAGUGAACUCACGUCCACACGGGGUGCGUGUUCAGACUCACGCGGCAGCUCCAGUGACAGGGAAGGUCGGAGAAAUUCCAGGCUCUGAGGAGUCCCAGACAGCAUUCCAGCUCAUUCCUAAUUUUAUAUUCAGGUUCCUUAAAACAAAAACUUCAGUAUGAGACAUUCAAACCCUUUGCAUGUUACAGUCUGCAAAGUUUGAAAAGCAUUUCCUUCCUUAGUGUCUCGGAAUUGCCCUAAAUACUUUCUUUCAACCAGCAGGAUAGGGGACACUAGGCUUUUGUGACGACUUAAGUCUU